AGUGAACGCUGGCGGUAGGCCUAACACAUGCAAGUCGAACGGCAGCACAGUAAGAGCUUGCUCUUACGGGUGGCGCGUGGCGGACGGGUGAGGAAUACAUCGGAAUCUACUUUUUCGUGGGGGAUAACGUAGGGAAACUUACGCUAAUACCGCAUACGACCUACGGGUGAAAGCAGGGGAUCUUCGGACCUUUCGCGAUUGAAUGAGCCGAUGUCGGAUUAGCUAGUUGGCGGGGUAAAGGCCCACCAAGGCGACGAUCCGUAGCUGGUCUGAGAGGAUGAUCAGCCACACUGGAACUGAGACACGGUCCAGACUCCUACGGGAGGCAGCAGUGGGGAAUAUUGGACAAUGGGCGCAAGCCUGAUCCAGCCAUACCGCGUGGGUGAAGAAGGCCUUCGGGUUGUAAAGCCCUUUUGUUGGGAAAGAAAAGCAGCAGGUGAAUACCCCGCUGUUCUGACGGUACCCAAAGAAUAAGCACCGGCUAACUUCGUG
rnacentral:rRNA from 1 species